rnacentral:rRNA from 1 species
UGGGGAAUAUUGGGCAAUGGGGGAAACCCUGACCCAGCAACGCCGCGUGAAGGAUGAAGGCUUUCGGGUUGUAAACUUCUUUGAUCAGGGACGAACAAAUGACGGUACCUGAGGAACAAGCCACGGCUAACUACGUGCCAGCAGCCGCGGUAAUACGUAGGUGGCAAGCGUUAUCCGGAUUUACUGGGUGUAAAGGGCGUGUAGGCGGGUCUGCAAGUCGGAUGUGAAAUUCCCGGGCUUAACUCGGGCAGGUCAUCCGAAACUGCGGAUCUUGAGUACUGGAGAGGAUAGUGGAAUUCCUAGUGUAGCGGUAAAAUGCGUAGAUAUUAGGAGGAACACCAGUGGCGAAGGCGGCUAUCUGGACAGUAACUGACGCUGAGGCGCGAAAGCGUGGGGAGCA